rnacentral:lncRNA from 1 species
ACUCAAUUCAUAAUAAACUAGGUAUAGUUUUAUCCUAAAACAAUAUCAUAAACUUCCUAAAUGUUACUUCCAUCAGAUGAUUGUCUUGCACCCAAAGGAGACUCUGGCUCAUUUGCAUCAGGAGCUUGCUGAAAUAAUAUAAAAAAAAUUAAUAAAAUAAACUCAAUUACAUGUACAAUUCCUACAUUAUAUAUGCAUUCUAUAUUAACCACUUUCAUCAGGGACCAAAACCAAUCAUUUUUCUUGUGUAAAUUUCUUGCUUGCAAAAACAUCUAGCCAUAUUCUUGGAGAUAUGUCUUUCUUACAUUUCANUCUUUCAAAAUAAUAUAAUAUAACUC